GACGGGGGGGGCAAGUGUUCUUCGGAAUGACUGGGCGUAAAGGGCGCGUAGGCGGCCUGCUAAGUCACACGUGAAAUCCCUCGGCUCAACCGGGGAACUGCGUGUGAUACUGGCGGGCUUGAAUUCGGGAGAGGGAUGUGGAAUUCCAGGUGUAGCGGUGAAAUGCGUAGAUAUCUGGAGGAACACCGGUGGCGAAGGCGGCAUCCUGGACCGAGAUUGACGCUGAGGCGCGAAAGCUAGGGUAGCAAACGGG
rnacentral:rRNA from 1 species